rnacentral:ribozyme from 1 species
AACAAGAUGGAUCUGAAAGUGAACUUAGCUCGAGUGGAGAUGAAACGCCGCGGCAAUUUUUUUGUCAUGGUACAGAUGGAAGAAUUAACUUUCCCGGAAAAAGAGAAAAGGACCAACAAAUUUCGAACCGAAAUUUCAAUCAACG